rnacentral:lncRNA from 1 species
CUUGACCGUUCCUUGGGCCACUUCAUCCUCUCUUCUCUGCUAAUUUUACACCGCGCACUUUGGCACCUUGACUUAUGAUACCUUUCAGCAUUUUCCUCCCCAAGGACUCACUGCAGUGCUCACCAGAACCAAAUCGUUUUGGAUGAUGACAUAUCACCCCACUUACAGAACCUGGUUUAAUUAUGCAGUGCUUUAUUAAAGCUCCUAGCAUUUCAUCUCAAAUACAUCCAGAACACCUUUAGCAGUCCUGGCAUGAAGCUAAAGCGCAGGGACGUUGAAUCAUCUGUCUAAAGGAUUCUAGCUGGUGUGACCCCUGCAUGUCUGAUGACUAGGCUGCGGAGGGAGCCGCGGUUUUAUGACAUUAAAUAUUAACAGCUGGAUAUUAAUAAUGAAGGCUGACAGCUCCUUUCCCAGUUCCUGAGGUUGAUUCUCCCCCAGCUGCAAGUCCAGCAGGAUUUGUGUUUUUUUCACCGCCUGAGCAUCGUGGUCAAGGCCCCCUGAUCUCAAAGGGUCGGGGGAGGUAAGAAAAAUAGCACGGAGGUGUCCCUGUCAUGAAUAUGAGCCGUCGCCUUCCACCAGGGCCCUGCACAGCGCGGGCUCUGCUGCCUCUGGUUAGCCCUGUCACAGACUGCUGAUUGGAAAGCAAUUUACCGUUAAAGGCAGAGAGAAUGUAGGAGGCUAAUAAUAAAAAAGGGGGGGGAAAAAAAGAAGAAAAAGCAGCAUCAGGAGACCUAACGGCAUAUCUUCCUGCAUUGCUCGAAGCCAGAGGAGAAUAAGCUACUCCAGCACAUUUGUGUUUUAUUGCUGUUUGGCCUGUGCAAAUAAUGCAGUUACAAAUUUUCAUACGGCGCCCUCCAAAAUCACGUUUUUCUCUCUUCCCUGCUUUCCUCCUCUUUCUUGCCAUUGGCCGCAGUUUUCCUGCAGGCUUCGGUCUGCAGCUAUGCCAGCCUUGAUCCUGAGAUAAUUUACAGGAGAUGCUAAUGCACAGGGCAGGCUGCUCCCUCCCUCCGGCAGCGCUGCCACAGCUGAGCGUCAUGCCUGCAGCUCCAGCCGGGGCCGGAGGACAGAGGAACACCAGUCCUUCCUUGAACUCGUGACCCUCGAGCCCUGCCCUGCAACGUGCUUAAAUGCUGCUGAGAAGUCAUCUCAGAGGAAUUUGAGCAGGGCUUUAUUUGAAUAAAGAAAUAGAGCGCACAACACACAAUAGUCGCUAAUAAAUCACAAGUUGGUUUUAUUUUGCUAGCGCAACUCGGCCUUAUUUUUUUCCGUAUUGGACUUUCCUCCAAAUUACAUUUUCCCAGUUGUGCACUUUUGUUCUUUUUACCAUGUGACAAAUGGAGGUGCUGUUUAUUAUUUAUUCUUUGGCUUUAAUGUUGUGCAAGCUAGAUCAAUUCAGCUUUUGAUAAAUAAGCCUGCUUUUUGCAGAAAUUACCCACUUGGAUCAGUACUCUUUUCUUCUCCUUCCUCGGCAAAGGCUGACCUCUAACCCUGCCUACUCCACAGAGAAGCCCCAUUUAUACAGGCCACUUUCAAGCUCCAUCUUGGUCAAAUCUAGACCACGUCCUCCACUCUGACCCCUGUAUCAAAUAACACCCCAGUACCCUUUUAGGGAAAUAGUUUCUAAUGUUCCCCAUGCCCACAGUUAAACGGAGUG